rnacentral:rRNA from 1 species
UACGUAGGGUGCGAGCGUUAAUCGGAAUUACUGGGCGUAAAGCGUGCGCAGGCGGUGAUGUAAGACAGGUGUGAAAUCCCCGGGCUUAACCUGGGAACUGCAUUUGUGACUGCAUCGCUGGAGUGCGGCAGAGGGGGAUGGAAUUCCGCGUGUAGCAGUGAAAUGCGUAGAGAUGUGGAGGAACACCGAUGGCGAAGGCAGCCUCCUGGGCCAGCACUGACGCUCAUGCACGAAAGCGUGGGGAGCAAACAGG